UGUUUUGUGGAGUUGAGUACAUAUAGGACGGUCUAGUUGAAUGAUUCAGAUUGCUAAAAUAUCCGGGAGUUGAUGCCCAAGGUGGAGGCGGAUAAGCAGAGUACUGUGGGAAUUGAGUCUGAGCACGUGGCGGUAAUUGUUGAGGCUGAGGAUGAAGUUCUAGCUGAGUUCUAGGUUGUUGGUUCAGUUCAGUUUGUAAAGGACAUUGUGGAAGCUGUUGCGAGGUAUGCUGAGAUUGUAAUGAUGAUUCUUGGGGAUACUGUGGUUGAGGCCGAGGAUGAGGUUGAUGCAGAGGCUGGGCUUGAGGUUGGGCCUGGGCCUGGGUCUGGAACUGCGCUUGGGUUGGGGUUUGAAAUUGGUGAUGAUAUUGAGGUUGGGACUGAGGUUGGGACUGAGGUUGAAACUGAGGAGGAAACUGAGGUUGCGACUGAGAUUGAGGUUGGGGUUGGGGCUGAGUCUGAGCCCAAGGAGCUACAUAACUGUUAAAGCUCUGAUCUUGAUAUCCAAGAUAAGCUUGAGAUGCAUAUGGAUUCCCUUGCGUGGUUGAGGCAACAGGCUCCUGAUGCGUGCUAUGAUUGGCUGAAGCAGAAUUUUGUGGGGUCUCGGGAUAUAUACUUGAUGACAAGGUCAGGCUCAAGAGAUCAAUUAUAUCUUGUUCUUUCGUGGGCAUAGCAGUUGGAGGCGGAUCUCGAAGAAUCAAUGCAUUGCUUGUGACAGGAUCCAAUGAUUCUCCCGUAGAAUUGCUAUUAUAGGCAGAGACCAUACCUUCACUUGUUUGCGCUGCUGGACUUGUUUUUGAAUGUCUGCAUCAGCACAAGCGACAACUUCAUUAGAGAAGACAGACCCAAAGCUGUAAAUACAUCAUAAAUCGCAGUUAGUACUUUUGACUUCCAAUAACAUUUAAGGGCAACAUAGUGCACUAAGCUCCCGCUAUGUGCGAGGUCCGGGAAGGACCGGACCACAUUGGAUCUUAUGUAUGCAGCCUUACCAUGCAUUUCUGCAAGAGGCUUGCCGUGAUUAAAUCCAAAUAAAAGUCACUAGCCUUUAUAUUGAGAACUACCCACCCCCCUUCCUUUCUUCAACCAUCUGAACCUUUUGGAAAACCAAAACGACAAUUAAGAAGUACAAUAACGGUCACAACUACAUAAAAAUUUCCUUCCUAUGAAAGUAAUAGCCUGAAAAUCUUGAUCUCUGCCAUGCAUCCACAGCUCUGCAUAAGAGCAAUGAGUUGUUUUAUAUUGGAAGUAAAUGCAGGUUUUGUAUAUUUACCUUCGAGCUAACUGGGCAAAGUCAUCUUCUUCAUCUUCCUCUUCAUCAAUUUGACCUGCUGUUGGUGCAAGAACUGGUGCAGAAGGUUUUGCAUCUGCUGCUGGAGUAGGUGGCUCAACUUCAGCAGGUUUGAGGCUUGGAUCAUGCAUUUCUCUAGCUGAGAUGUUGUUGUUUGGGACUUCAGUUGGAAGUGGAGAACCAGAAGCUAUUGCGUCAUGUUUAGCCAGCACCAUUUGGAGGUUAUCAUUUAAUUCAAGACCCUGAGCCAGAAGUUCUUCAUCCCUAAACACAAACCAGAGCAACUUUUAAGAGGUGAUGAAAAUAUGCUGAUAAAGAAAGAAAAGAAAUAGCAAAUACCAGCCUAGUUAACAUUUGCGUCAAUAUCUUUCUCAUGAACACACCAUAAGAAACAAAAGAUGGAGAAUUACCCGGUGGUGGUCAACAUUUGCAUCAACUUCUUCUGGUUAGAGCGACACUGGUAGACAAGAUCAACUAUAACUUCAUCUUGUACAGCCUAUACAAAACAAAGAUAGAAAAGGAUUAAAGAGGUUCCAUUAAUGAGGUGAAUGAAGGAAGAGUGAGAGAAGUUACUUACCAAGCGAUCGCCUGGAGUCACGGCUUGUAGCAUAUCAGCCAACAGAUCAGCAACUUCCUUCAUAGAAUUUAUGCUGGACAAGCUGCAAGGUAAAAAAGUUAGGACAAAGGAUAUGAUAAAGUAAAUCAUAACAAACCAAUUUAUAUAGUGCAACAACAUCGGAUCAAUAGGCCUGACAUGGCGUACGUCAACUUACCUUAAGUUUUCCAUAUCUGCUGCCAUGGCCUCGUCAAGUCUUGUUGAGGAAUUGCUUGGCAUUCCAUAACCAGGUUGAGGUUGUCUUGGUGCAGGAUGAGUAACAGGUGGAGUAAAAAUUGGAGCUGUAUCAAAUGAACGCUUGGGAAAUUCAACGCCAGCACGC
rnacentral:lncRNA from 1 species